GACGAACGCUGGCGGCGUGCUUAACACAUGCAAGUCGAACGGAAAGGCCCUGCUUUUGUGGGGUGCUCGAGUGGCGAACGGGUGAGUAACACGUGAGUAACCUGCCCUUGACUUUGGGAUAACUUCAGGAAACUGGGGCUAAUACCGGAUAGGAGCUCCUGCUGCAUGGUGGGGGUUGGAAAGUUUCGGCGGUUGGGGAUGGACUCGCGGCUUAUCAGCUUGUUGGUGGGGUAGUGGCUUACCAAGGCUUUGGCGGGUAGCCGGCCUGGGAGGGUGACCGGGGACAUUGGGACUGAGAUACGGACCAGAGGGCUACGGGAGGCAGCAGUGGGGAAUAUUGCACAAUGGGCGGAAGCCUGAUGCAGCAACGCCGCGUGCGGGAUGACGGCCUUCGGGUUGUAAACCGCUUUCGCCUGUGACGAAGCGUGAGUGACGGUAAUGGGUAAAGAAGCACCGGCUAACUACGUG
rnacentral:rRNA from 1 species